AGUGAGGAAUAUUGGUCAAUGGGCGCAAGCCUGAACCAGCCAUCCCGCGUGCAGGAAGACGGCGCUAUGCGUUGUAAACUGCUUUUGCAGGGGAAGAAAACACCCGACGAGUCGGGGACUGACAGUACCCUGUGAAUAAGCAUCGGCUAACUCCGUGCCAGCAGCCGCGGUAAUACGGAGGAUGCGAGCGUUAUCCGGAUUCAUUGGGUUUAAAGGGUGCGCAGGCGGACUGGUAAGUCAGUGGUGAAAUUUUGCAGCUUAACUGUAAACGUGCCAUUGAUACUGUCGGUCUUGAGUUUGGUCAAGGUAGGCGGAAUGUGUAAUGUAGCGGUGAAAUGCUUAGAUAUUACACAGAACACCGAUUGCGAAGGCAGCUUACUGGGCCACGACUGACGCUCAUGCACGAAAGCGUGGGGAGCAAACAGGAUUAGAUACCCUGGUAGUCCACGCCGUAAACGAUGAUCACUCGCUGUUGGCGAUACACAGUCAGCGGCUAAGCAAAAGCAUUAAGUGAUCCACCUGGGGAGUACGACGGCAACGUUGAAACUCAAAGGAAUUGACGGGGGCCCGCACAAGCGGAGGAACAUGUGGUUUAAUUCGAUGAUACGCGAGGAACCUUACCUGGGCUUAAAUGCAGACUGCAUUCUCGGGAAACCGGGAUUUCCUUCGGGACCGUUUGCAAGGUGCUGCAUGGUUGUCGUCAGCUCGUGCCGUGAGGUGUCGGGUUAAGUCCCAUAACGAGCGCAACCCUUAUCGUUAGUUGCCAGCGGGUCAUGCCGGGGACUCUAACGAAACUGCCGGUGUAAACCGAGAGGAAGGUGGGGAUGACGUCAAAUCAGCACGGCCCUUAUGUCCAGGGCUACACACGUGUUACAAUGGCCGGUACAGAGGGCAGCUACCUGGCGACAGGAUGCCAAUCUCAAAAACCGGUCUCAGUUCGGAUCGGAGUCUGCAACCCGACUCCGUGAAGCUGGAUUCGCUAGUAAUCGCGCAUCAGCCAUGGCGCGGUGAAUACGUUCCCGGGCCUUGUACACACCGCCCGUCAAGCCAUGGAAGCUGGGGGUACCUGAAGUCCGUAACCGCAAGGGGCGGCCUAGGGUAAAACCAGUGACUGGGGCU
rnacentral:rRNA from 1 species